UUGACAUUUGCACUCUGCCAGCACCAGUGAAUGUCUGCAGUGCACUAGUAAGGAACAUGUGGGAGCAGGAGGCCUUCAGCUUUUUCUAUUGAAGGAAGACAGCAGAAGGACUAGCUGGUAAAAUGAUUGUCAGAAGACUUCAACAGGAAUAAAAUAGGAAUUUAGAAAGAGUGGCAGUGAGAACCAUCACACUGCAUUCUGCCAGAAGAGGCUGGAAACACUUCAAAAAAAGAAAACAGCUUGGAGGAGUCCAAAGUUGCUGGCUGGCCUAUGGAGCAGAUCCAGUUGAUCUUUCUACAGAACAAGGUGAUCCACCCAAACCUAGCAGCUGCAACUUGCUGUGAUUCACACGGAGAGGAAUGUGGUGUUACACAGGAUUUUGUACAGAGGCAGAAGCAAAUCAAGGAUUUGGAGGGCUGAUCUACAACACACACACAUGGCUUCCUUUGUAGUCAAAUUCUAAGUAACCUGUAGAACUAGUUUGCAGCUUGAAAGUGGAUGAGUUAAGUGCCACUGAAGUAUUUUUUUAAGUGCCACAGGUGUUUGUAAAGUAAUUGUCUGUACUCGUUUGAUGAGCUUUGCCUGAAGGUUAAUGACUGUAAACAUUCUUGCAUAAUAAAAGUCUUCAUUAGCAGAUCGUUAGCGAUUGUCUUGGAAAGAAAAAUAUGUAAGAGCUG